AGAACCGCGAUCUGGAGGAUUUUAGGAGUCCUUCUCGUCUCUACCCCAGAAUUGGCGUUACGACACCACAGAAGGAGUUUUGCCUUUGUUCAUUUAACGCGCGCCCCAGAGCUUCCCGGGGGCGGGCUUAUAGACCCCUGGGGCUUCCAGGUGAGAGGAGCUGUCAGGUGCUGGGAGAGUUCGGAGGCAGAAAUGGGAGGCCACCCAUUCUGUGCAAAUCAACUCCCUGCAACCCCUACCCUACGUAAGAACAAGUAAAAGCAGGUAGCUCGAUAGAAGACGCCAUCUUCAAAGUAGUCUUUCAAGUUUAGCCCCAAUCCCCAGUUGCUGCCUCUAAAACUGCUCUUUCAAAAGAAUUUUGGAACAAAUUUCAGGCUGUUGGGAAAGAAUAAUAAUUUUUUUUAAGUGAACACGGUUUUUGUUGUUUUUUUGUUUUUUUUUUUUUUUUUUUUAGAAAUAAGCAAGUAUCUCUUUCCCCUUUCCCUCCUUCCUUCAUACUUGAGCUCUAGGUAGCGCCCGCCCCAAGUCCUGAGUGGAUAAUUAACUAGGUCAAAGGCAGAAGGAAGAGGUGGAUGCAUACUGGGACCUAAGGGAGUUUCUGUAAAGGGAUUGUAUCAUCGAUGCCUGUGUUUGCCGCUGGCAUCUUAUACGAAAACUGGACCCGACCUUACAUGUAAAAAUUAAGCAAGAAAAUUUUAGGUAAUAUCUUAGUUAUCUGGUUAAGGGAAGUGUCUUGCAAGAACCUGUACCGGCCACCAGAAACCCACACACCUGGAAGAAAUGUAAAAUCUGACCUGGAUUUCCUAUUCCCAGGGCCCCGCCCUUCAGAAUUGCGCAGACUCAGUGGCUGCCUCUCUAAGUCUUCCUACUCCCGCCUCCUGCAGCUGUCAAAAUCCGGAUUCCAGACUUCCUUAGGGCCCGGGACACAGGUCUACGCAUGCUCAGCAUCAACCCCGGUCGAACACAAACACGUGCUUCCAGCCUAUCGGCGCCUGCGCCGUAGCAACCCCAGUUGGUGCCCUUAGGACGCUUCGUGUGCUCUGACUCCAGCGGUCUGUGUGAGCCCAUUUGUGAUCCGCGUCCUGCGCAUACACCUUGCGAGUGACAGAGCCAUGGGUCUGACCUCCCAUUCCAGCAUACGAGGUGAAGUGGGGCCUGGGAGCGGGUGAGGCUGGCGGCCUGCGCACCGGUUGCAGCGCCCGCAGCUCUUGUGGUUUGUUAUCGCUGUCCUACACGCCUGCAGGUCCUUUAACCUUGAGAUGCAGAAGGACAUGCGCUCCGCCCGGCUGCGGGCUCUGGACUGGACCAGCGAAAGGAGCGAGGUCAGGGUGCGGAUGGAUGGUCACUAGGCAUAAGUAGCGCGGGGCCAUGCAGUGUCUACGCAGCUCUGAUACUUGUUUCCCUCAACUAGUCAAACCCUAACACAUAGUGAUCUCGCUGCUGGCUUUUCUUGUUUUCCCCCAAAUUGCUUUUGUGUCCUUAAAUCGCUGGGCCUAGAAAAAGGAAAGGUGAGCGGUAAAACAAACAUGUUCUCCUUCUCACGUUGAAAUCGACAUGGAGCCAGAAAGUUAAUUUCCUGCAAUCCUGAAGCCGUGCAUGACUAAUCACAUCUUAAUUUUGCAGAUUUUUUUAAGGUGAAGAAACCCAAUCCGAGGUCUUCUGUUUUCCCAGUUUUUUAUUAUGCCCCUUGCAUCUGGCGUUCGGUGGCUGUAGUCCAAGAGAGAGGAUUAAAAACCAAGUUCCUUGAUCCUUCCUUCAGCUUCCACAGUCGUCCUUCUCUGUACUAGUACCUAACGUUUGGAAACAAUACUUUGCAGAAAGUCCAAUUAAAGUUAAGAGAAUUAUUUAUAAAAUUUGCCUAGUGUGGAGUUCACUUUAUAACAAUAUUAAUGAUACUAUAUUUGUUAAUAUAACACCCUCCUCAUGCUACAUGAUAUAUAUGAUCUGUCUGUCCUGGUAUAAAAUGCAAAGUUUGGCUACCUGUAAAUGUAUCCAGUAAAGGUAAAGAGCUUGUCCAGAAGUAAUUAAAAUUGGUACAAUUGAUUCAUUCAGUAAAUUCUGAGCAUUUGUAGUACCAGGUUCUGUAAUAAGCCCCUACUAACUUGAACUCUAAUUUUGUAUUAGAGAUAGUCCGUAAGUUGGAGAGUUCUACUUCUUUUGACAACAUUUACUUGGAAGAUAGGGGGGAAAAGUUCUAAGUUAAUAAUAAUAAAAAGGUGAUUAUUUGCAAAAAUUAUUUGAAAGGAUCAUCAUCUGGAGGCAUCUUGUACAUUUAAAAUAUCGAGUUAUAUCUAUGGUUUUGGUUUUUAUAAAAACUUUUGUCAAGAAUAAGACUUUGGAUAAAAUAAAAUGCUCAUGUGACUUAUGCUGCCAAUAUUUUUAAUUUUAUAGAAAGACUGCACAUGGGCCAAAAGAUUCCAAAAUGUGUUUUUGUUUAAAAUAUGGGACCAUUUUGUGUAAAUAGGCAUUGAAAUCUAUUUAACUCUAUUUCAGGGGCUUGUUUGUUAUGGUAUUAGGGAUUGAAUCCAGGGCCUCAUGCACGGUAGGCAAGUGAUCUACAUCCCAAACCCUUCAUCUGUUUUUAUUUUGAGAUAGGUCUCUCUAAAUUGUCCAGGCUAGUCAAACUUUUCAUCUUCCUGCCCAGGCCUCUUGAAUAACCAUGACCACAAUUGAACUUCAUUUAGGUAGCAUUUUGUGGAAUCCCUAGGACUUCUUAUCACUAUGUACAGGUUAAUUUUUCCUGUAAGCAAGACAAGUGUUUUGUUUUUGUUUUUUAAGUCUUAACAUAAGGGAGUUCAGGGAUGAGUUUUCCAUUAGUUUAUCAUUGAGUAAAGGAUACAAAUCACUUGGUGAAGCUGAUUGUUAACUAAAACUUUAAGUACACAACUUCAUUAUGUGGAGUAACUACUUUUUAUUUCACUGAUAAGCAUAAAGGUUGUUGUGGGGGCCCAUAGGGAGAGGCCCAGAGGCUUUGUAAAUCUCUCUGACAGUACUUCCUUCUCAAAUAUAGUGGCUGGCAAAGUAGAAACAGAAAAGAAUUUGGUUUGGAAGAAUAAACAUCCCUACACCCCAUUAAAGUUUGUUUCUUCUCUCUCUCUUCUCUCUCUCCCUCUCUCUCCUCUUUCUCCUCUCUCUCCUCUCUCUUCUUUUUUUUUUUGAGGUACUAGGAAUCAGAGCCUCAAGUAUACCAGCCCUCUACUCAAUUUUCAAAACAAACCUAUUAGCUUCUAUAGAUUUGAAGAUCAAUUUGAUCUUUUAAUUUAGGGGAAGAUGAUCAUACCUGUUCUCAAUUAAGUGAAUUCAUAAUUAUAAAAGGCUUAGAACAUAGUAUGUGACAAUGAUAACUUAUAUGUUGAAUAAAAAGUAAAAGUAUAUGUAUAUACAUUCUGAAUUCUUUAUAUUCAGGGAAAAAGAAAAAGUAAUGAGUGGGUUAUAAAUAAGAGUAAAUGGGGAUCAGGCCAGGACUGGAAGUAGGCAAUGAGAAUGAGUGAUUGCAAUUGAAAUCCUGUCAAAGAUCUUUGCCCAUGUGAUGGGUCUUCUUGUCGAUUUGGUUGAUGAGACCAUUAAUUCAUUAUAGUUUUUAGCACUAAGUGACAUUUCCUGCCUGCUUCCCUAAUCUCUUAGGAUUCUUCCCUGUGCCUUCUAAAUGGACCUUCCAGAACUGACCGGGCUAUUUAAUAUCUCCAGGAGACAUUGAAUCCAUUCUCAUCCUUAACCCCUUUGCUUCUGUUGACAAGAAAAAUAUAAUUCUUGAGGCCAUUCUCUUCCCAUGUCCUCCAGAUACCUUAAUUCUUGCCUCACUGAUACUUAUCACUUUUAAAUCUUUAGCCCCUCAUAAUGGUUUUCUUCUCUUCAGCCUAAUUUGCCUUCAUCUUUAGAAAGAAAAAACAAAAGCAAAAAACAAUUGAACUAAGUAUUUUAAAAGGGCUUCUUUAACCAGACUUUCCUUUAAAACAUUUAUACUCACAAGUGGCUUUACCCCCAAGUUACAAAAUAGAGAUUUAUCUGUUCACCUUCCCCUUCAUUAUCCAUCCCAAACCCUAAUCAUUAGAAUGCAUAUAACCCAAACCUUAUGUAAAUCUUGCCUGACUUUUGUAUCCUUAUAUAUUUUAUUGAAACUAAUUCAUAAUUUCCCACCUCAUUUAACUUCACCAAAUUGAUUGAGUAAAUUCAUUAAUUCCUUGAAAGUAAUGCUUUAAGGAAUUCUUUUUUUCUGAGAAAGGAUAUGUAAAUCAUACUGAGGAUAAAGCUGUAGCUCCGAUAGGUUAUAAACAACAAAUAAAUAAUUAGAGGGUGGGAUUUGGAGCUAUGGGCAAAACAGGAUUGGUCAUCUGUUGAUAAUUGUUGGAACUUGAUGAGGGUAAAUGAAUUUUUCUUUAUCCUGCAUGGUCUCUAUGUAUGUCUGAAAUAUUCCAUACUAAAGGGUUUUUUGUUUGUUGGGGUUUUUUUUAUUUUAUUUUUUUGUUUUUUAUCUGAAGAAGUAAAUUCCACACUUUACUACAGUAGGUUAAAAGAAAGGCAAAGAUAAGUCAUUUGGUAUAAGGGUAAGACAUUUGGCAUAGGAAUGAUAAGACAGUUAAGGCCGGACAGAUGAAAUUGCAAAUUCAAAUUAGUCCAUUACUUCUACUCAACUCACAUUGAACUCCACCAGUACACCAAGCCUUGAGAAGAAAACAUUACCAGAUGCCACCUCCAGUCUGUGCAAAAUCUCAGGGAAGACUGGGUUUCAACACAGCUCCCUUCCCCCUCUCCUGAUAGACAAGAAUGUUCUGAUUCUGUGGCAGUUGACAGUGGGUAGGAGAAGGCAGUUUGAGGCAGAAAAGGGGCUGAAGGAAAAGAAGAAGGGUGAGAUUUCCAAGUUAAAGAAAAAAAUAAUCCUCAUGAUAAAGAAAAUCUGAGGAAUGGAUUGUAAAUAAGGGUGGGGGAUUCGGGGUCAAGUCUGUGUUUUCUCCAUCUCCGAAUAAUUUUGAGAGAAAUCUAGAGAUUAUAUAAUAGUCCAAGGGAAGAAAGAGGGAGUUUAGAAAUGUUUAUGUUCUUUAAUGGAAGAUAAUUUAUUAAAAAGAAUUGGGUAGAGUGGGUUCAACCUAACUAUAGGAAUUACUGCACCAUGAGAAAUGUCUACAGAAAAAGCAAAAUGAAGAUAAGCCAGAAAAGGGGGGAAAAAUGAAAUGCUGAAGAUUUGGGGCUACCCAGUUCUAACCCAGAGUCUGAAAGAUGCCAACUGACAAAAUAUUUUUAAGUAUUGAGUCUUGGUAAAGACCCUUUUUGCCUCUGAGGUUAUUCUUUCCCCACCUCUGCUUAUUCUAGGACUUGAACCCAGGAACAUUCUACCACAGAGCUACAUUCCCAGUCCUUUGUGUAUUUUAUUUUGAGGCAGGGUUUCUCUAAAUGGCUCAGUCUGACCUUGAACUUGUGAUCUUCUUGCUUCCACCUCUGGAGUUGCUGGUAUUAUAGGCAGCAUGACUAUUCUUAAUAGGCAUAUAUCGAGUACUAAAUGUCACUUGGGUUUUGUUAUUUGUUUACUCAAGUUUUCAGUUUUUUCUCUCCCCUAAUUGUUGAUUUUUAAAUCUACCAUCAUUUUUGUUUAUCUCUGUCUAGCUUUUUUUUCCUUCUUUUCCCUAGAGUAGUCAGUGAAAUUCAGCUUUUUGCCAGAAGAGACUGAUUCAGGCCACAGUAAUGAAAUGAUAAAAUAGCAACUCUUUUGUUACUUCUGGGAACUCUUACAUUUGUCCCCAGUGAGAUUAGAGAAUUAGAAUUUGGGAAGAGAAAAAAGGGAAAUAGAAUUGGGGAAGAGAAAAAAGGGAAAAUCUUAAGAUAUUAUCUAGCUCUGUGAUUCUAAAAUACUUAUUUGGAGCAAAUACAAAGCUAUUUUUCUAACACACAUGGUACUGUGAUAAUUGCUUACAGCAUGAGUGACCCGUGAUGGGGGUAGAGUAUAUAUUUUGAUUUCCCCAUGGGGCAGCCACUCAGCACUCAUUUAUUUAAAUGAUACUUGCAGUAUUGCCUCUUUUCUAUGCCAGUUAUUCUGUCAUUUAUUUUACCAUCACAAAAUCCAGGGGAGGUUAAAAAAAAUUUUUUUUAAGUCACUAAAUGAAUUCAGUUGGUAAUAUGAGAAAAGAAUGUUCUAACAGCUAGGAGAGAUUCUUUUGACCUGUUGUGAGUUUGAUGUUGAAGUUCCUAUAGGAUUUUUUUUAAUAUCAUUAAACUAAUAACUAGCCAACUCAGGAUUUUUUGCAAUAGAUAAGCACCAUUAAAACAGGUAUAUCAGAAAGCACUUCCCAAUUCACGUAAAAAAGUAAAAUAUAAGAUUCACUUUUAGUGAGUUGUGUUAUUUAGUCUUCUGGAAUAUUGACCUCUUUUAAGUUUGUACUGAAGACAACAUUCAGCAAACAUUACUGAGCAUAUCCUGUGCAUAGCAAUGUUUUAGUCCAUUUUUAAAUAGAUACUUUAGCUAUUCAGAGUGUCUUUCCAUUAGCUAAGUAGAUUACUGUAGCUCCUAACAGAGAAUAUUUUUUCAAGAAAGUUCCAUAGUAAAUAAUGCAUCAAAAAGGAAGAUCACAGAUAAAGGUAGCAAUCACAGCAAAGUUGCAGCCCUGCUUGGAAAUACCACAGGAUAAUACCAUGAAAUAGCACUAAAAUUUCAAGAGAAAUCUACAGGAAGAGUGUACUUUAAAACAACUUCUGAUGAGGCCAAAGGUUUAACACUGUCAAAUGACUUGUUUUCUCAGUCAUGCAGCACCUGGGAAGGACAAACUGUUAAUGUUUAUCUUAGGGGGUUAUAGCAAUGAAAGAAUGGAAGUGUUGUGGAAAAGAAAACAAUCUAAAUUACUUUGGAAAGAAUACUGGGCUAGGGAUGUAGCUCAGUAGUAGAGCACUUGCCUAGCAUACAAGAGGCUCAAGGUUCGAUCCCCAGUAUUACAAAAAAACAAAAAAAUACUGAAGUUGAAAAUAAAAUCCAUAGAACAUGGUAAUUAGAAACAUUGGUUAAAAACAAAAUUAGAAAAAUUUGUUAGACAAAAUUAUUAAGUAACUGGAAGUCCAAGAUAAAAGGAAUUAAGUAUGGGAAUGAUAUAUUUCCUUUCCAGUUUAGAGUUAAUAUUGAGCUACAAUUACAUGUAAGACAAUGUUAGGUAUGGUGACUGAUCACAUUAGUGAAAUAGGAAAUAUGACCACAGUAAUGCAAAUAAGCCACAUGGUUACUAACUCCUUAUGUGUUUUUAUUUGGCCUUGGAAUGUGUUUUUUGUACUUAAUCUCCCUAGGGCUUUAUUUGAUAGUCUGGGAACUUAUUUCAAACACUGUGAAGAUGUGACUCAGGAAGUGCUGAGAAGCAGUGCACUGUGUUUUUCCUGACCCCUGUUCAACAUCAUCCUGCAGCCCACUCCAUGCUGAGAAUAGACAACUCUCAUCUGAGGCUGAGACUAACCAGAUUAUGCAGAACUUUCUUCUCUCCAUCACUGCCUGGAGCUGGGGUAGUCAUUAAGCAUUUGGGUUUCUAAGAAUUCCUUGAAGAGCUAUGCAAAGAGAAUAAGUAAAUGGCCUGUUAGUCAAACACAUUUAUUACUAUUAUAAUUAGAAAGGAGAAUAAUAUCAUUAAAUUAAAAAUGGAGUUUGUGGGGAAUUCAGAUAAUCAUCCACUUGUGGUUAAUAGAAAUUUGAAUUUAUUAAAUGAGACUAAUUAUAUUAAUCACAUUUUAUGUGAAAUUUGUAUGUUCUGAUUUUUAUUUUAAUGAGAAAGCACUUUGAAACUUUAGAAUUCUGCAAGAUAUAUUCCUUUGAAUGUUUAGCUUUAGGAGUGGUUUUGUUUUGUGUUCUUUUUGUGUUUUUUCUUUGAAUACUGAUUCUAUGUGUAAUUAGAAUUAAGUUUUGAUAAAUAAAAUCAUUUUAAAAUCACUAAGGAACUAGCUAUUUAAAUGAACACUAAUGAGUCAUUUUGCUAACGUAAUCUCCUCCUGUUUUAUUGUUUGUUUGUUUGUAAUCUAAAAUUUUACUUUGCAGGUUUUGUGUUUUCUUUUAAGCAGUGUAUACCUGCAGGCUCAAAUUAUUUAAAAAUCUGUUUAUGAACACUUUGAGAAAGAUUAAGCCUUGUUUUUGCUUCUCUGUCUUAAAGAAGGGAAAAUAACCAUUGUUUCCCUCUUCUAUCUUAAUUUCACUUUCAUCACUCAACAGAAAAUAUAUAACUGCCUUAGACCUUUGUUGGGACUUUCCCCAGCCCUCACUAUUACACCAGCAUGUUCUGGUCAUUUUGGUAACAUUGAAAAUCUUUGAUUGUUGCACUCCUUAAUAUUCAAAAACUGAAUUUCCUAAACAUUUGUGAAUGAUUUUUAGUGUGUAUUUUGGUUUGGGUAAUUAUUCCUCUUUUUCUUCCCUGCCCCAGUUGAAUGGAUUGCAGCAGUUACCAUUGCUGCCGGGACGGCUGCAAUUGGUUACUUAGCUUACAAGAGAUUCUAUGUCAAAGAUCAUAGCAAUAAAGCAAUGGUAAACCUUCACAUCCAGAAAGACAAUCCCAAGAUAGUACAUGCUUUUGACAUGGAGGAUCUGGGAGAUAAAGCUGUGUUCUGCCGUUGCUGGAGGUCCAAAAAGGUAAGGAUAAUAGGUCAUACAAAACUGUUAUCAAUGUAACAUUUCUUUUUAAUCUACUCUGUCAAACUUGUAUUACCAGAUUGUGAAGACACCCUUUUUUCUUUUUUUUUUUUUUUUAAUUGCAUCCUGUUCUUCUGUUUUCCAUAUAUUUACUACUAACAUAUAUAUAACUACCAUUCAGUCAAAUUAUACCAUACCCUCAAUUGAGUUCAGGUGAAUGCAACCAUAUUCUUGACCAAAUAAAAGAGAAAAAUCUCUUUAAUUUACUCUUAGGAUUUCCUCCCCAAGUGGAUCUUAGUUUCUUCUAUCCCAGGAAAUGGGAGUGUGCAGCUUGAGUACAACAAGAAACAAAAGAAAUACUUUUUUUUUUUUUUUUUUUUUAAGAUUAACAGCUCUGGAUACUAGGACAAGUUUUUAGAAAUUUCAAAAGAAACUUUUGAAAAUUACCCUAUCUUAUUGGCAUCCCAAACCUUCUAUCAGCUGUUAACUCCUUUAAUUAAAAAUCUAACAAUACAAGAUUCUUUAAAAUCUUAUUUAUUUUAUGAGAAUUGUAUUUCAGAUUUCUUGGGGAAAUAUCACCUACGGUACCUUUUCAGGUUUAGAUAUGAUGGCAGCUAGUGAGCCAGACAAUAGAAUCCUCUCCUGGGUUCAUCUUUUUCUUGAAUGACUUCAGAAUUUCUGGUAUAUUGUUAGAAAUACAGUGAAAACAUCGUAUGUGCUACCAUUAUUAGCAUUCAAGUAAAAUUUGUUUCACCAAAAAUAAUAGUAAAAGAUUCCAAAAAAACUGAUGUUUCUAGGGUGGGGAUGUAGCUUAAUAUUAGAGUUCUUGCCUAGCAUGCACAAAGCCAUGGGUUUAACCAAGUUCUGCCAAAAAAAAAAAAAUAAUUAAAAGUGUUCAUUUUUGAAAGUAUAUUAUGUUGGUGACCCUUCCCACAGUGAAGAACCAUUUAAUGAAUCAUAUUAUCAAAAAUGUGGAAGAGGGCUGGAAUUGUGGCCAGUGCUAGAGUGCUUGCCUAGGAUGUGUGAGGCACUGGGUUCAAUUCUCAGCACUGCAUAUAAAUAAAUAAAGUCCAUUGACAGCUAAAAAAAAUUUUUUUAAAUGUGGAAGAAACUGUGAGCUUGGUUCUAAAAAGUAUAUUUCUCGAAUCUAUUUCUCCCAAAUGAUCUAUGUACAAUCCAGUGAUUCAGAGCUAGAUUUUGUUACUGUGUUCAGAAAUUGAUGAAUAUAUGGAAUAUGAACCAAAAAUUAACAGACCCAUUACAACAAAUUGUACCUUAAGAAUAACACUGUAUAUUUAGAAUAGGCUUCCUAGUAAGUACUUGUGGGGUUGCUAGAAAAUAAUCUCUUAAUAGUAUUCCAUAGGCUAAACUUGGUUUAUUUUUUUAAACAAACCUUGUCUAUAGUAGGUGCCUCUCUUUUUGCUCAUUAAAAUAUGAAAAAUAAUGCAUUUCAAAAUUACAGAAUUUCUGUUGGUGUUGCAAUAGAUCUUCAGUUAAUGAUCUUAAAUAUAAGUUCAUUUACUGCUUACUAUAUAUAUGUACAUAUAUAGUAAAACAGUAGUUUUCUUGGAAGAGUAUAAUAAAUGCAAUACAAAUGUUCUAAAUGAGAGAAAAGAAAGAGCUUACACCAUGGACUAAAAUUUUCUGGGAAAGCAUAAUAAUUUAUGUUUGGGAGUUAAAUUUCCCCUGAAAAGAUAGGUGGUAUAUGAAUAUGCUGCAAGUAUUCGGAACCCAUUUUCAAAAUCUUCAAUAAAAGGCUCAUAUGAGGAAAGGGGUAUUGGGUGAAAACCCUAGUCUGGUCCUUGCACGAGCCCCUCUUUCCCCCAGGGAAUAAAUCUAAAUUGAGGAGAAUCUGAGUGACCGUGUGAGGAAUUUGUCCUUCCAGGCAUGCAGAAGUGGUAGGAUACAUAGUUUUCAGCAGGGAUUUCAGAUAUAAAGUUAUAAUACUUACAUCAGAGUGUUAGCUGUAUAAGUGUGUGUCCGGGGGUGGGGGGACAAACAGUUAAACAUUUUGAGGGAAAUAUCAGCCAAAUUUAGUGACUUGUGUUUGGAUGACUGGGGGAGCAAAACUAAAGGAACCAAGUGUGGGAAUUAGAAAGAUUAUGUCAUUAACAAAAAUAAGGAAUUCAGGUAAAAACCCGAUUUUCCAGAACAGCAAUAACAAGUUUAAUUUCAAAGAGUGUAUUUGAGGUGACAGUUGAAUGGAAAUGUACAGCAGAUGAUCUAAAAUGUGGGAGUACAGCUGAGACAUCAGGGUUGGAGAUAGAAAUCAGAAAAACUGAUGAGUCGAGUGUAAGAAUGUAACUGAUCCUUGGUACUGAUAAAAAUCAAAAGCUAAGUAUGAAAUCUUAGAGAAUUUUUUGCAUUUUGGAAAGAGGAACAAGAGUCAAUUGAGGGGGCUGGGGUUGUGGCUCAGCGGUAAAGUGCUUGCCUAGCACGUGCGAGGCCCUAGGUUCGAUCCUCAGCACCACAUGAAAAUAAAUAAGUAAAAUAAAGGUAUUGUGUCCAACUACAUCUAAAAAAUAAAUAUUUAAAAAAAAAUAAAAAUAAAAAUAAAAAAAAAGAGUCAAUUGAGGAGGUGAAAUAGGCCAGAGGGAUUACAAUAAAACUAAAAAUAUUGUGGCUUUAAAGUGGAAAUGGAAAAUUCUCAAAGAUUAUUAGUGAACAUCUGCCUAUACAAAAACAAAAACAAUCAGGUGAAUAAACUAUUGUAGUAGAACAGUUGGAUUAAGCAAGUAGGCAUCUGACCUUUGGUGUCAUUUCAACAGAAUGAUUAAACACUGUGUCUAAGUAGGUUAAAAUGUGAGUUACUAAUAAAGAAAUGCUAUAAGUCUGAGUAUAUGUCAAAAUUACAGUAAAUAUAAAUAGUGAAGGAAAGAAAAAUAAGGUAACUGCUUGAGGGAACUUUAAUAAAGCAUCACUUUGAGGUAAGGAGAGUUUUCCUUUGAUUGGGUUUUCCGAGAGGUAAAAGUGUCCAAUAAAGUAAAUAUGGAUUUUCUUCAACUAAGAUCUCAAUUUUUAUGACAAGAAGGAUCAAGAAUGGACACAAGCUAGUGGUUUAAAUGUUUAUUAGACUUUAUAAUUCAACAAAACAUUCCACUAUUAUUCUUUCAUUUUAUAGAGUUCCCAGAGGGUUAGAAGAGGGACCGCCAUUUCCCAUGGGGAAACUUCAAGAAAUGCCAGAUGACUUUUUGUGUAGGGAGGUGGGGAGUCUAUGGGCAUUCAGUAAUCCUCUUUGCAUGUAGGAUUUGCCAGUUACGAAUUUUCACUUGAGUCUUGGGUACUUGUUAUUCCUGCAUGACUCAAUUAAGGAUUCACUUUGAAUAUAUUCAAGUUAAUGAAUGUUCUUACUCUUCAGACACCUUUGGAAACUCCCCACAUUUCUCAGGUUCCAAAGGUUAUCACACAGCUGCCAAGUGACACAUUUACUGGCUGACUAACAUAAGACUUAAAAUUAACACCUUUGUUGAAAUGGUUGUAUUGAAUUAUAUUCAUUUUUCCCUCAUUCAAACCAGUUGUAUUUAUAAAUAACAAAAUCUAAGCUCCUUUUUACCAAUCAAAAAAUAUCGUGUGAUACAUAUAUUCUUAAGAUGCAAUCACCCAUACCUAAUUGAAUCAGAUCUCUUACUGAUGCACAGUAAUUACACUGUUUAACAUACUCCAUUCCUUCUCUUUCCAGACUUAAUAUGCUGUCUGCUGUUUCAGAAACUGGCCUAUUUUGUAGUAUUAUACAAAAGGGCUAUCCAUAUUUUAAGUAAAAAUGAAAUGAACCAGUACACAAGAGAUUAAAGUAACUUUAGGGAAAGGUACUAUUUGGGAUAGUGGUGUUUUGAAAAGGGGUGAAAGGAAAAGAGAAUAAGAGGAUAAAUGUGAAACUCUGCCUUAUAAGAGAUGGUCUCACUUUCAAAAAGAAAAUGAAAGAAGUUUGUUUGAGGGAAGAGUAUGCACCAUAGUUUUGCUAAAUUUCUGUCAUCCCCCACCCCCCACAUCAAGUAGUGUGUAGAAUUAUUUUCUUUCAUUUAUAACCUGGGGAGUUUGAGUUCUUAAUUUUGUAGGUAGUGGUGACAGCAGGCUUCUGUUUUGGUGAAAGUGUAUGUGUAUGAAUGAAAGAGAGAAAGCUUCCAUCCUAUUAAUGGUUUAGUAGUGGGUUGUAUUGUACUGAGUCCAUUUUUUCAUAGAAGCAAUAUUCCCAAUGUUAGAUCUUUUGAAAACCCAAUUUUGGAUUUAUGGUCUUGUAAAAUCUUAAUUUCUCUAUAUGUAUUUUCAUAUUAUAUCCACUAUCUUGUGUUUUAUUAAAUUAAGGACAUAAAAUGAGUAAAAAAUGUCAUAUUGUUCUCUAAGGUAGUGUCAAAGAUCUCAUUACUUUUAACUUUUUUUCUCAACCAAAGUAAUCAUAUUUCUCAGUUCAGAUAAUGGUAAUGAGCCAAAAUGACCUCAAGUAACUUCCUGGGAACAUAGCAACAAAACUCCCAUUAAAAAUACAAAGUUUAGGGCUGGGGUAUAGCUUAGUGGUAGAGUUCUUGUGUAGUAGGUACAAGGUCCUAGAUUUAAUCCCCAGCACCACACACACAAAAAAAUAAUAAUAAUAAAUAAAGUUUGGAAGAUAAUGUGAUAGUUUCUUUUUUUAAGUGUUUCAGAUAGAAGACACAGAGAAGAGCAUUUAUUUCUAUUUUGAAACUUCUUGAAAAAGACACAAGAUGUAAGGGUCAUUAAAAAAAUAAAUCUUGUGCCUUGUGUUUUUUAUGAAGACCCUGAGAGUGUUACUGUCUUUCCAAGGAAAGAGCAAGGAUCUUUGAUAUUUUUGUGCUUACUCUUUCAUUCUAACCUUUUCUCACACUCUUCUUCCCAGUUUUAAAGAUUUAUAGUUUUCAUAUUGGGUUAAUAGUAUUUAUUUUAUGUACAUCCAGGAAAUUGAGGCAAUUUGAUUAACAAACUUUCUCUGGGUUUUGAUAAUAAAGAAAUACUGGCAUCUUACAAGAAAUUUGGCAGUAUGUCAACUGAAUUAAAAUACCCUUUGAGUUUUUUGUUUAAGUUCUUUACUUGAGGGCUGGGGAUGUGGCUCAAGUGGUAGCGCGCUCGCCUGGCGUGCGUGCGGCCCGGGUUCGAUCCUCAGCACCACAUACAAAGAUGUUGUGUCCGCCGAAAACUAAAAAAUAAAUAUUAAAAAAAAAAAAAAAAGUUCUUUACUUGACAGUUAAACAUAAUUCAGAAUUUUUAAUUUCAGAAGUUUAAAGUUUGAACAAAUUUCAAAAUUUGUUUUUAUUACAUUGCUAUUUAAUACAAAAACUCUUUAUGAAGAUAAGUUUGAAAGCAUAUAUAUAUAUAUAUAUAUAUAUAUUCACUACACAUUUUCUUUCUCUUGCAUAGAAAUAUCAAGCAAGGCACUCCCUGAAAAACAUAAAUAUUUUUAUAUAAUUUGCCUUUUGAAUUUGAAUGCCAAGUAACAUUCAUUCACUUAUACUAUAUUGAGAAUUCUGGAUUAAUUUAAAUAUAUUUUAUUACCAUGUAUAUUGUAUUAAGAAAUUAAUGAUCCUAUCUUGAAAUUACCCAUUUUUAUUCUCUAUUGAAAAAAAGUUUUUAGUCUUUUCAUCAACUUAAAAUUAGAAAUCUGCACUGAAUGGGGCAUGUUCUGAUUUAGUGCAGUAAAUUUUGGAGUCAAAUGAUAAAAGAAAGUACCAUUAAAAGGCACCUGUAGGGCUGGGGUUGUGGCUCAGUGGCAGAACCCUUGCCUAGCAUGUGUGAGGCACUGGGUUCAGUUCUCAACACCACAUAAAAAUAAAUAAAGGUCCACCAACAACUAAUAAAAUAUUUUUUAAAAGGCAUCUGUAUAGGAUAACAUAAAGAACCAAUCAAAUAUAAAUUAAUAGAAGAACAAAAGUGAAUCUAGUAGAGCAGAUGAAGGAGAAUGGGAGAGGAAAGGGAGGACAGGAGAGAAAAUGGGAAAUUAUGAACUGAAAUCGAUUUUCAUGCAUUUUUGUAGCCAAGCGCAGUGGUGUACUAUGGAUGUAGCUCAGUGGUAGAGCACUUGCCUGGCGUGCGUGAGGCCCUGGGUUCCAUCCCCAAUACUGGAGAAAAAAAAGUGUUGCUAAAAAAAAUUAAUUUUAAUACCUAGUUUACAUUUCUUUUGGUACUAAGGAUUGAACCCAAAGGCACUUUACAACUGUGCUCCAUCCACAGUUGUAAAGUGAGUCAGGGUUUUGCUAAGUUGCUCAGCCCAGCCUCAAACUUGCGGUCCUCCUGUCUCACCCUCAUAAGUAGCUGGGAUUACAGGCAUGAGCCACCACUGCCAGGCCCGAGUUUACAUUUUAAAGAUGUAAAAGCGUCAUAUACUAUAAACCUAUUAAAGUAUAUUAACAAGUAUCGAGGAUUUAUUACUCCUUUUUCCCCCCACCCUUUGGCUAGGAUGUUCGAACCCAGGGUAACUUUACCAUUGAACGAUACUCCAGAGGUACAGCUAUUUUGAGACAAGGUGUCUCCCUGAAUUGACAAGGCUGGCCUUGAACUUUCAAUUCUCCUGUCUCAGCCUUCUGAGCUGCUGGGAUCACAGGUGUGUGCUAUUGCACCCAGCCCUUCUUGCUACUUUUUAAAGAAAUGUUUAUUUUUUGUUUGAACAUGAGGGCAGAAAUAGAUUAUUAGAAAAAAAAAAGCAUAUUCAAACUUUAAAUGUUGACUUUCUUAAUAUUUUAUAACCUUUUUUUUUUCUUUUUUUCUUUUUUUUUUUUUUUUUUGGAGCUGGUGAUGCAUCUCUGUGCCUAGCAAACAUAAGGCCCUGUUUUUUAUCUCGGUGCCUCAAGGGAAAACAAGAUUUUCUUUGUAUAUUUCUUUAUAAAUUACUCUUCCUAUUCUUGAUUCUUGUUUCUGGAGGAAGUAAUAUGAGAAAAUAAGUUAGUUUUUGAAGAGAUUAAAACAAAAAUUAAGUGUGCCAUUUCAAUAAGUUAGUUGAGGCUUUUUAUUUAGAAAUGUUUCGUUUUCAGAAAUAUAUUUUAUAAUCCGUGUAAAUAAAACUGUACUAAAAUGCUUUGUGUGCGCUGUUUAUAAAAAUGAAGUCUUUUACAACGUAAACUUUUAUUCUUACUAUAAAAUGAUCUGUUUAUCAAACAUGUCACUUUGAAAUGCUGACCUCUGAUAUGGAAUACAUUUUAGUUUGCUCUUUUUUUUUUUUUAAGAGAGAGAGAGAAUUUUUUAAUAUUUAUUUUUAGUUUUUUGACGGACACAACAUCUUUGUAUGUGGUGCCGAGGAUCGAACCCUGGCCGCACACAUGCCAGACGAGCGCCGCUACCGCUUGAGCCACAUCCCCAGCCCUUAGUUUGCUCUUUAUAGCCUCUUUCCUCAUCUAUGCCAAGAAAAAAACUGAAAUCUUGUGGGUUCAUGUUUUUGUUACAAGGACUUAUUUUUAUUAUGGACAUAUGCCAUAUCCUAGUGAUCUAAAAAAAGAAAUAUGUAGUCUUUUCAUACAUUACAUUUGCACUGCCAUCUACUCCAAGAUAGACUUAUGUCUAGAAAUUUAAGAUAUGCUCAUAUCUUGAAUUUUCCUAUAAUUUUUAAUUAAUUUAUUGCCUGUUUUAAUUAUGUACCAAUAGUUAAAUUAAGAUGGGAUUUCUAUAACAUCAGUCAAAUAUUAUUUUAAUCUUAGAAUUGAGGCUUUGGAGUAUCAUAGUUUGAGAUUAUGUGCCAUCAUAGGUUUCAAGUGUCAGAAAUUAUACUUUGUUCAUUUGAGUAAUGAGGUGAUUGUUAUUUGAAGGGCAAGGUACUGUUACUUUACUCUUCUGAAUAAACUUCUUCAAUGACACAGUAUACCUUCUAUUAAACUAUGAAGCUCACAGAUUCUAGAGUGUAGUUCAAAAUAUCAAGAAAAAUAAAUGCUAGCUCUCACGGUUUGAUGUUAAAUAGAAAUAAAAUGUACAAAUAUAAAAGGAAAGAAAGAAUUUACUGAUAAGUGGACCUCCUAAGUAUAAAAUCCUGAGGAGUCACCAGAAAUGUUAUUGAAUUCUUAUUUUUAUCUUUUAACAAUAGAAAGGAUAUGCUCACACACAAAAAAAAUUAUAUACAGCAAGAAUAUUCAGAUAUGAAUAUUUGGAAAUUAUAUAAAGAAAUAUAAAAUAACAACAGAAAUAAUCUCAGAAGAAUGUGCAUGGGAACUGAAAAUGAAAACUACAAGAGAAAUAAGGCAAAAAAAAUUCUCAAGCUUAUCUAGAAGAAUAAAUAAAUAAAACAUAAUAAAGUUAGCAAAGAAGAAUAAUGAAAGAAAACCCACCCUAUCAAAUACUGGAACUUAUUUUAAAAGCAGUUACCUCUAAACAAUGUGAUAACAAGGAACAUAUAAGUAGGCAUUUUUAUAUGAUUUUAUUUUGAUAAAAUUAUGAAUAAAGGUAUAACAAUUUGAAAAGUGACAACCUCUAGUAAUAUUGAAGCAACAGGCUCUUAAACAGCAUUUUGCAAAAUAUGCCCUACAUGAUUCUGUGAUGAUGGAUAUCAAAGUUAAAAAUGCCCAUAAUCCAGGCAAUUUGAGAAAUUCUAGGUUAAUGAUAAUGUUUUUUACAAAAUGAUUUCUUCAAAAUUAAAAAAAUAUGCUGUGACUCAAGAGUUAUAUAUGUGUUUUAAACAGAAGGAAACUAAAUCAGAAUAACUUGCAGGAUUCAGCUUCUUUGGAAUACUCUGGGAAGUACUAUUAAAAUUUUAAUUUUGGGACUAGGGUUGGCUCAGCAGCAGAGCACUCACCUAGCACGUGCAAGGUGCUGGGUUCGAUCCUCAGCAUCACAUAAAAAUAAAUAAAUAAAGGUAUUGUGUUCAACUACAACUAAGAUUUAGUUUUGUUCCUUUCCCUCCCACUAGAUACCAAAAAGAUCAGUUACAACUAAAAUGUAAAAUCAUGAAAACAAAAUAGAAACUGGGAAUUUAUAUAUAUUCAUCACAACUGUAGAUGCCUCUAUGAACAAUGGUAAAAGGGAAAUAGUAGCAUAGUUGUAUGAAAGUAAAGAGAUUAAAGGUAUGAAAAACUAAACAAAAACUUGGGGGAAAGAUUGCUGCAAAGAUGGUCAGUAGAGAUAGCAUACAAAUUAAUUUUAAAUAAAUAAAAUCUUAUUAAUAGUGCUAGGGGUAUAGCUCACUGGUUGCCUAGCAUGCACAAGGCUCUAGGUUUGAACCCAGCACCAAGGAUGAAGAAAGAGAUUAAUCCUUACAAAUAGGCAAUGGACAUAGUUCACUGGAAACUUAACUAGUAUAUAGACUGAAAUAGGUUUACAGCAUCCAUAAUCAAAUAUCAGUGAAAUUCAACUCCUGAUGUGUCUUAUCCCCAAGGGAUUUCUUCCUCCUACUCAGUAUGUGUAUUUUGCAUGUGCUCCUUAAAAAUCCUAUUUAAAGUUUCAAGAAAAAUCUUUUAAGUUCUGAUGUGUGUGAAUUAAACAUCACUCUAGUUCUGCCAAGCACUAUAUACUGUUUGGGGAUUAGCUGUUCCACAUUCAUUCUCUCUUUCUCUUCUAGUUUCCAUUCUGUGAUGGUGCUCACACAAAACAUAACGAAGAGACUGGAGACAACGUGGGACCUCUGAUUGUCAAGAAAAAAGAAAGUUAAACGGACAAUUUUGAUGCUGCAGACCAACUUGUCAUGAUGUUACCUGAUAAUUUAAUUAGAAUGACUACCACUUCUGUCUAAUUUACCUCCCCUGCGUUCUAGAUGUGUGGUAUAUUGCAAACCUCACCUUUCACAUUCAUGGCAUUUGCCUUACUUGUUGAAACAUCGUGGUGCACAUUUGUUUAAACAAAAAAGGAAAACCAACCUUAUGGCCUAUGGGUUAUUUUGGUCUUGUAAGGAUCCGUUUCUUUAAAUUUAAAAUAAUGGUAUUAGACUAUAGUUGUAUCUUGAGGUUGGUGUAUUAAAUUAUUCUCAAAAUCAUGUAUAUGCAGAUUGUACUUGGAAGUUUCAAAGAAAAUUUUAUCGCCUUUUCAUAUUGCUUAUUUGACCUAGAAAGUGAACAGGGUGUGAUUAAGCUACAUUAAUUUCGUAGUAUAGUCUUAAGAAAAACCUGUUAUAACCUUGAUUUUCUUCUUGACAGUGGUAAUAACACUAAGAAAAUACAGCUUCUGUGUUUUCAACGUUUUCAAUUUAAAUGAACUAUGAAUGUCACUCUACUUAAUUAUAAGUUGACCAGGUCAGUAAUAAAGGGGCAGCAACUUCCUUUGUGUUUAUCUUUAUGGAUAUUUAAUUGAUCCAUUAAAAGAACAAAUAGUAGGAAUUUAGAUCACAGUGAGAAUAGGUUAAAAGUAGUCAUGAAGAAUGUCUUAAAAUAUAAUGCUCCAGAAUUCUAGACCAAGGAGUGGCAAGCACUGGAACUAAGGACGUGGAAGAAACUGAAGCACACAUUUCAAGUCUCUUAAUCACAAAGCCAAACAUCUGUGACGGAAAUAGUAGUCAUAAGACUAGAUCAAAGAUGGGGGAAAAUUUUUUAUUCCUCACUCUGGAUAAUCAAACACAUGGCUUAUAUUAGUAAAGAUACUAUUUGGGAAAGAAAAAAGAAAUUUAUCCUCUUAAAUUGUAUGAUCUUUAUUCUUCAAAGAUUUGAAGACAAAGUGUUUAUGUAAUAUUCUUCAAGACUCAGAUCAGGGCUGGGAUUGUAGGUCAGUGGUACAGUGCUUGCACAAGUGAGGCACUAGAUUCAAUCUUCAGCACCCCAUAAAAAUAAAUAAAUAAAAGGUAUUGUGUCCAUCUGCAACUUAAAAAAAGACUCAGACCAAAAGUAUUUCAUUCACUGCCAAUUAAAAAAAAAUGUGUGUGUAUAUAUAUAUAUAUAUAUAUAUAUAUAUAUAUAUACACACACACACAUACACACACACAUACACUAGAAGCAAUGGAAUAAUUAAGAAAUAGCUUUUUAUGUGUGUAUUUUUUUUUUCCCCUUGGCACUGGGGAUUACACCCAGGGGCACCUUACUGGUAAUCACAUCCCCAGCCCCUUUUUGUUUGAGAUGGUCUCACUAAAUUGCCUAGGCUGCCUUCAAAUGUGAAAUCCUCUUACCUUAGCCUCCCAAGUCGCUGGGAUUAUAGACAGCACCACUACGCUUGGACAUAUAUAAAAUCUAGGCUGUGUAUGUGUGGCUUUGAUUUGAGGAUCUUAUAGGUUAGAAGGGAAAGUCAUGAUACAAUUUGGGGCACACAAUUUGAAAUGGUAAAACAGUCAUUUGUACAUUUGAAUUCUCAGUUAACUAUCAGUCACAAGUUUCUAUGUGCUAAAAUUCAGGUACCUUAGAAGUCACAGGAAUCAAUGAAACCAGACAGCACUCCUAAAGGUUAGGUUUGGGGUAGAAGGUUGUUUUUUAUGGUGCUGGGGGUAGAACCCAAGGCUUUGUGCAUGCAAGGCAUGCAAGCAUUCUACCACUGAACUACAUCCCCAGCCUCUGAUUCUAACAUUUUUUAAAUGUAUAAUUUAACGUACUACGGUACAUAAAGGUUGAUGUCAUAAUUAUGUGCAUUUGCCUCUGUGAAAGGUUGAUGUCAUAAUUAUGUGCAUUUGCCUCUGUGACUGACCUGGACAUGUCUUCAGGACACAUCUCCAAGCAAAAUCUAAAAUCUACCCUGAUUCUAUCAGAUUCUUAGGGUAAAAUUUUUUCCAUGCCCAUACUCCUUUUUUAAAAUAAGUAUGAAUGGGUCAGCAAAAGAGAUCAUCAUGCUUUUAAAACGUAAUUAUUUUAAAGAAAAAUCCAUAACACUCAGUUUCUGAUAAAGGGACAUCCUUUUAAUGGGAAUAAACUAUAUUCUUCAUUUUGAAUUUGAAACUGUUAUGCUUUUUUAUAAUUGGGGCUAGUAACAAUUUCAGAACUAUAAGUGUAUAUAUGUAUGUGAUGAAAUUUGAGAUGACCUACCGUACUAUGAAAUACAAAUAUUGAACAUUUUGAUAAUUCAAGAUAAUUAGGUAAAUGUAGUUUCCAAGUCCUGUUAAAAUUUUAUCACAGGCUUUUGAACUAAUUCAUUUAUAACAAUAAAACAUUCUGUUAAUUAUAAAAAUAAAGUGUUUAUGGUUAGGUUAAUGCAAGAUUCUUUACAUACACACAAAAUUGUGUGCAGUUACUGAUCUAGUUAAAGCACCUUAGAGCUUCAAAGUGCCUUUUCAUUUAUCAGGCAAUUGGAGUGCCUUUUUUCUCAAUAUAAUUUAUGUCUUAGGGAUUUCUGUUAGAUCUGUUAGGUUGAGAGGGUUUUAAUGUAAAGAAUCUUGUUUUGCAGUGAUCUUGAUGGACAUCUAUUCUUGCAACAGACAUGUAUUAGACUAAGGACCAUAUAAUGGAGAAUGAAGCAUUUUAGAGAAUUAGCAGCUCAUAGUUUGGAUUAUAUAAUUUAUGACAUAGAUUAUAUAAUUAUAGCAAUUCUAAUUCAGGAUUAUUUUUCUUGAUAAAUUAUGACAAGUACCACCAAAUAUACUAAACAGUUCUACUAAGUAGG
rnacentral:lncRNA from 1 species